rnacentral:rRNA from 1 species
AGCCUGAUGGAGCAACGCCGCGUGUGUGAAGAAGGCUUUCGGGUCGCAAAGCACUGUUGUAAGNGAAGAAANGCUAAAAUAGGGAAUGAUUUUAGUUUGACGGUACCAUACCAGAAAGGGACGGCUAAAUACGUGCCAGCAGGCGCGGNAANAAA